rnacentral:rRNA from 1 species
CCCUAUGGGGCGCAGCAGGCGCGAAACCUCUGCAAUAGGCGAAAGCUUGACAGGGUUACUCUGAGUGAUUUCCGUUAAGGAGAUCUUUUGACACCUCUAAAAAGGGUGCAGAAUAAGGGGUGGGCAAGUCUGGUGUCAGCCGCCGCGGUAAUACCAGCACCCCGAGUGGUCGGGACGAUUAUUGGGCCUAAAGCAUCCGUAGCCGGUUCUGCAAGUCCCCCGUUAAAUCCAGCUGCUCAACAGAUGGGCCGCGGAGGAUACUACAGAGCUAGGAGGCAGGAGAGGCAAGCGGUACUCAGUGGGUAGGGGUAAAAUCCGUUGAUCCAUUGAAGACCACCAGUGGCGAAGGCGGCUUGCCAGAAUGCGCUCGACGGUGAGGGAUGAAAGCUGGGGGAGCAAACCGGAUUAGAUACCCGGGUAGUCCCAGCUGUAAACGAUGCAGACUCGGUGAUGGGCUAGCCUUGUGCCAGCCCAGUGCCGCAGGGAAGCCGUUAAGUCUGCCGCCUGGGGAGUACGGUCGCAAGACUGAAACUUAAAGGAGUUGGCGGGGGAGCACCACAAGGGGUGAAGCCUGCGGUUCAAUUGGACUCAACGCCGGAA